rnacentral:rRNA from 1 species
AGCGAACGCUGGCGGCAGGCUUAACACAUGCAAGUCGAGCGGGCACUUCGGUGUCAGCGGCAGACGGGUGAGUAACACGUGGGAACGUACCCUUUGGUUCGGAAUAACGCUGGGAAACUAGCGCUAAUACCGGAUACGCCCUUUUGGGGAAAGGCUUGCUGCCGAAGGAUCGGCCCGCGUCUGAUUAGCUAGUUGGUGGGGUAAUGGCCUACCAAGGCGACGAUCGGUAGCUGGUCUGAGAGGAUGAUCAGCCACACUGGGACUGAGACACGGCCCAGACUCCUACGGGAGGCAGCAGUGGGGAAUAUUGGACAAUGGGCGCAAGCCUGAUCCAGCCAUGCCGCGUGAGUGAUGAAGGCCUUAGGGUUGUAAAGCUCUUUUGUCCGGGACGAUAAUGACGGUACCGGAAGAAUAAGCCCCGGCUAACUUCGUG